UGGGGAAUAUUGCACAAUGGACGGAAGUUUGAUGCAGCGACGCCGCGUGGAGGGUGUAGGCCUUCGGGUUGUGAACUCCUUUUUCUCGCGAAAAAGGCACAGUUUUGGCUGUGUUGAUGGUAGUGGGGGAAGAAGCGCCGGCUAACUACGUGCCAGCAGCCGCGGUAAUACGUAGGGCGCGAGCGUUGUCCGGAUUUAUUGGGCGUAAAGAGCUCGUAGGUGGUUCGUCGCGUCUGUCGUGAAAGCCAGCAGCUUAACUGUUGGUCUGCGGUGGGUACGGGCGGGCUUGAGUGCGGUAGGGGUGACUGGAAUUCCUGGUGUAGCGGUGGAAUGCGUAGAUAUCAGGAGGAAUACCGGUGGCGAAGGCGACUUACUGGACUUAAACUGACGCUCAGGCACGAAAGCGUGGGGAGCAAACAGG
rnacentral:rRNA from 1 species